CCUAAACGGCAUUUGUUGCACCGAAAACAAGGUGGUCCCUCUCUGCUCCCCCGCAGCCAGCAAGGCCUUUCCCUGCGUGGGUUCUGGCCUGUAGAGACCUGCUGCUUUUUCCAUAUGGAGGCCUUCUCAGGGGUCAGCUCCUUUUCCCAGAGUGCUUCUGCUGGGAGACUCCACGAGACUCAGUAACUGAUUUUCAAAUGCCGAGUUAGAGACGGAGCAGCACGCGCUCCUGCCAUAACACCCAGGGGAUGCACCUACAGGCACCGCUGGCUAUUUUGGACUUUCUUUGCUUGAACUUGGCUCUGUAGAAACAAGAAAAACAUUGACAAGUGAAUGGAGAAGGUUCUUAGGAAUGCAGAUAACAAUUCCUUCUUAGGAAGAAAAGCCAGGAAAAAAGAAUUACGCUAUCUCUUCAAAAAAACUUGUUUAAAUGCUCUCCGCGCUUCCCCCAAGUGAGCUUCCUCUCACAGAGAAACAGGACAAGUUCAACUGUGAAACAAUCUCCUUUGAGAGAGAAAUGCACUCGCUGUACGCUGGAGGAGCUGGAUGAAGAGGAAAAGAUCUGGAAAAAAACCAGAAGACAAAGAAGUUUGGGAGGAGACAGAUAUCCAACCUUUUCUUACUUGUAACUACGGAUCUGAAGAAAGGCACGAUAGCAGAUAAGGUGUGCUGACAGACAGGAUGGACCCGAUGGCAAACUGCCCAUCAGGACGUCUUGGCUAUUUUGCCGGACCAUCCCUGCAAUGCCGCUCUGCCCUGCUCCUCUCUGCCUCCAGCAGUGCUAUUAAAG